UGUUGUUAGCUCAGUCGGUAGAGCAGUUGACUUUUAAUCAAUUGGUUGCAGGUUCGAGCCGAGCGAAGCGAGACAACAA
rnacentral:tRNA from 3 species